AGGCCUCGGCGGCGCUUCCGGCGACGUCGGUGCUUCGAGCCGAGUUAGCCCAGUGGCUGGCUGCCCUGUGGCCGACGAGGUGGGCUUUAACUCGGAGGAACACCGGUGGCCUCUCCACCCAGGCGUUCAAGGCGUCCAGAAAUGCUCUGUGCGCGAAGACGAUGCCAUUGUUUGGGGAGGUUGCACAGCCUUCGGAGCAGACCAACCAGCUAAUCCACUGUCUACUGCUCAGGAGUGAAGGCGGAUUCUAUGUCUCCUUCCACACAAGGUUAGAUUUAAGUGCUGGAUUUUUCUUGUACCAGAAGUUGGCUCUGUGUUGUGAACAUCCUCACUCAGGAGCCAGCUUGCUCCAGGCACCCUGUCUCCACCUUCUGCGUGCUGGGAGUGCCGGCUACUCUGCCUGCCUAUGAGUCCUGGGGAUGUGGCCGCUGGUGCACAUCCAUGCACAGUGUCGUGAGCCUUCUCUAGCUCCAUUUACCUUAAACUAGACAUUUGACACAUCCCAAACAAGUCUCAGAGGACAAGAGUCUGUCGUGGUGAGGAGGUAUGGUGCAUCAGGCGUGGUGACGGGAGCCGAGAGCUGAGGGAUCAUCUCUCCAGUUACAAACAACAGAGCCCAGAGAGAACUGGAAGUGGGACAAGGCUGUAAAUUCUCAGAGGCCACCAGUAGUGACACACUCUUUCUCCGCAACAGCAAGAUUCUGCAACAGCACUGCAGGGAGCCAUAUUGGAUUUGGGCCUAGCCGCUUUUUGAACUGCAUGGUUCAAAGUGACUAGGUGACUCUGGGCUGUUUGGCCACAGAGACUCACCCCUAAGAUGACUGCCUUAAGUCUUAAGAUUGUUGGAUGAAAGCCUCUCCCAUGAAUUUAUGGCACAGGAAGAUAACAUUCAAGGGAUGCCUCAGCUCCCUUAGCAGAUACCUGUUACCUCCUGAAUCAACACCCGGUGUCUCCACCGCCUGACCUCAUCGUCUACCGCCUGACCUCUUUGCCUCCAGCUAUCACUACCUAUAUCCGCACCUCCCCCUCCUCUGUGUUUCACAAAGGACACUCCCCCUACCUGAAAGCCUUAAAAGCUGUAACGUUCACCCCAAUAAAUGAGACCUUGACAACAGAA